UGUCUACCCUAAAUUUGUUCUCAUUCAUAUAAUAUGAUCUAAAAAUAUGUUAUUUGUGUUGUCUUACUCCAGGUGUAAAAUAAACAUCAUCUGCUGAAAUCCAGAACGCUUCGUUAAAUUCUUUGGGUUUUUCUCAGGAAGAUCAGGAACGGUUGGAGAAAUUUUGAUAAGCUGAGAAACAGCCUUCGUGUUCCCAGCUUGACACCAGAGAUGACUCUCCUUGGGAUUCACUUCUCUUACUAUUUGAACUCCAGAAGGAC
rnacentral:lncRNA from 12 species